GUGUAGCAAUUUGAGUUUUUUCACCAGCAGUUUCCUGAGUGGCUGAGGCAUUAAUCAGCGCAGCUGCAGCUGAUCUUCUGAUGAGCACCUGAGGGCUUUAUAAGACGACACUGGUGAACUGAUCCUCGCCGGAGCAACACAUGCCUUAUGUGCUCCUGCCCGUGAUCCCACCGUGUCGUCCAAAGGAAAUAACACCUCAGCUCUGAUCACCUGCCUGUCUGCCUCCAACGCCUCAGGAACUCACCUAUUCACCUUGGAUCAACUCAACCUGGAAAUAAAAAGAAAACAACUCACCUCCGUGGAUUCUCACCUUCUCCUCUGUGCCGCUCCUCCCUCAUCGACCUCUUCUCCAGUUCACACCCCGACCCUCACUGUAAAUAAAAUCACUUACCUUUUGUAUCUGGUCUCCCGAGUCUGUUUCGCUCCAAACCUGUUCACUUUUGACUUCUCACAAACCUGAC